rnacentral:rRNA from 1 species
GGCGUCUAAUACUGGAUACGAGACGUGGCCGCAUGGUCAACGUUUGGAAAGAUUUUUUGGUUCAGGAUGGGCUCGCGGCCUAUCAGCUUGUUGGUGAGGUAAUGGCUCACCAAGGCGUCGACGGGUAGCCGGCCUGAGAGGGUGACCGGCCACACUGGGACUGAGACACGGCCCAGACUCCUACGGGAGGCAGCAGUGGGGAAUAUUGCACAAUGGGCGAAAGCCUGAUGCAGCAACGCCGCGUGAGGGAUGACGGCCUUCGGGUUGUAAACCUCUUUUAGCAAGGAAGAAGCGAAAGUGACGGUACUUGCAGUUAAUGCGCCGGCUAACUACGUGCCAGCAGCCGCGGUAAUACGUAGGGCGCAAGCGUUAUCCGGAAUUAUUGGGCGUAAAGAGCUCGUAGGCGGUUUGUCGCGUCUGCUGUGAAAACUGGAGGCUCAACCUCCAGCCUGCAGUGGGUACGGGCAGACUAGAGUGCGGUAGGGGAGAUUGGAAUUCCUGGUGUAGCGGUGGAAUGCGCAGAUAUCAGGAGGAACACCGAUGGCGAAGGCAGAUCUCUGGGCCGUAACUGACGCUGAGGAGCGAAAGGGUGGGGAGCAAACAGGCUUAGAUACCCUGGUAGUCCACCCCGUAAACGUUGGGAACUAGUUGUGGGGACCAUUCCACGGUUUCCGUGACGCAGCUAACGCAUUAAGUUCCCCGCCUGGGGAGUACGGCCGCAAGGCUAAAACUCAAAGGAAUUGACGGGGACCCGCACAAGCGGCGGAGCAUGCGGAUUAAUUCGAUGCAACGCGAAGAACCUUACCAAGGCUUGACAUAUACGAGAACGCUGCAGAAAUGUAGAACUCUUUGGACACUCGUAUACAAAAAAAUACAUGGUUGUCGUCAGCUCGUGUCGUGAGAUGUUGGGUUAAGUCCCGCAACGAGCGCAACCCUCGUUCUAUGUUGCCAGCACGUAAUGGUGGGAACUCAUGGGAUACUGCCGGGGUCAACUCGGAGGAAGGUGGGGAUGACGUCAAAUCAUCAUGCCCCUUAUGUCUUGGGCUUCACGCAUGCUACAAUGGCCGGUACAAAGGGCUGCAAUACCGUGAGGUGGAGCGAAUCCCAAAAAGCCGGUCCCAGUUCGGAUUGAGGUCUGCAACUCGACCUCAUGAAGUCGGAGUCGCUAGUAAUCGCAGAUC